CGGAAGUUGAGGCGGAGCAGCGGCGGAGACCACUUCUUCUUCCUCGAGCCACACCAACACUCAUUUUCGUCCAGGUAUGUGUCCCUCUUCUGUCCCUCUUUCUAUUUGCUAUUCAUUCCCCUCAGGCUAACCCCAUGGCCACCCAUCUUCCUGCUCUGGAAAAGGCAGGGGCGUGGAGAAAUCAAGGAGGUACCGGAUGGGAAGCAGCCAGAGGCGCAGCACGGGCUAUGGUUGGAGAAGUCCGAGCGCCGAUGCCGUUUCCAAGAGGGGUCAUAGCGAGAUGGCCCACAAGCGUCUGGCGAGGGAUGCAUUGGCGUCGCUAUCUUCGGCCACCUCUGGCAGGUCGGCUUCGGCGCUGCAAAUUCGCCACCAACCUCCCUUCUUGCGCCGCCCGCCUUCGCAGCACGGCCUACCAGCCCUCGAUGGGAACUAAUUUCUUUCCCCUGCUCCCGAUAGAUAUUUGGUUCAUCCUUUCACGUUCAGUGGAGAUUAUGGUCAAGUCUUUACCUUCCAAAUGCCAAAUUGGUGAUGUCAACUGAGCGAAGGAGGGGUUACACCCACGUCGUGGCAGAGGCAGACAUUCUGCGACAGUUUGUUCCUUCACCAUGGUGGGUUCCUACCAAUUCUUAUUUGGAUAUGGUUGAUGCAAUCCUAUGCUCCUCUCAAGUUCACUUUCUUUGUACAGCUUCAGUGAUGCUACAGGUUUCAUUCUUGAGGUAAGGAAAAUUACCUUAGAUGAUCCUUCAUUUUUCUAUGCUGUUUUGCGAAAAGAAGUUGCAUUGUAUGGAAAUAAGCUAUUUGUAAUAACUGAGAUGGCUUCCUUGUUUUUGACUGGUCAGGAAUGUUGAUGCCUUGCAAUUUAGUUUUUGAAGUUCAAAUGCAUAUGCAUGUUGUUCAAGUAGUGACACUGAUAGACAUUUCUGUUUUUUUUAUAUCUCAGGGCUCUACAGAAAAUGGUCGUAUGAUGAAAGGUGCAUAUGAAAAAAAACGUGUGUCAAUUAAUCUCACAGCUUGUGAGUCUAAUAGCCACAGUUUUUAGGCAACAUUUAACAGCAUAGACCGUAUUACUAAAAGAUGCCAUGUCUAAUCUGAACAUUACCUUUAAGAAGCAGCGGGUGACUCUGACGAUGCAAAUUUUGCAGCCACAUGCCAUUCAGCAUAGAUUUGCGAUCAAUCAUGUUAAUUUGUCCUGUCUCGAUGCUACUUCAAUCACAGAUAUACAAUGGGAAGCCUAUGUGUGUUAUCCAGAAAUAUAUUUCCAUAUUACUACGAUAAGUUGGUAAUUAACAUGAAGCUUGCUUAUAUGUUACUUCUCUAUCUUUUAUCUUUACUUGCAGGUUAUUUUGUCUUUACGAUCUGUUUCUUCUACAAAAUCUGUGGUAGGAAAGAACACAGCUUGAGACUUCCCAGUUAUACAAGGAAGCUGGAGUCAAUCAACUAACAAUAAAUGUGAAAUGAAUUAUAUGGUAUAUCAACUCAUAUUAGGUGACUAUUCAUAUUAGCUAAUCAUAUUUUCUACUUUAUAUAGACUCUACGUUGCUUAGGAAAAUAUCCAUAUUUUCUGAUUCAUUAGCACCAUUGCUACCUCGUAUUAUUAUUAUUGUUUUUUAUGAAGGAUGAUUGUUCAUAUUAGCUAAUCCAAUUUUCUACUUCCUAUGAACUCUACCGUUAUUUAGGGCAAAUAUCCCUAUUUCUGAUUGAAUACCGUUAUUUUGUGAUGCAUCUUCCCAUAUUUCAUUUUUAUGCAUUGUAGAUUAAUCGGGUAAAGAUAAUCCUUUAUUAUGCUUAUGCAGAGUGUGAUUUAGAUACUUCUGCAGUGCACAUUUUGUAUCAUGGCGAUAUACACAUGUCUCCUAAGAGGUGCCAUGAGAUCUUUAGUAGUUGUAAAAGCUAGAGGAUUCAUAUUUGGCCCAGGAUCCCGUUGGCCAUUGGCGCAAAAUUCGUACUGUUGCGCAAACCUGAGAAACUCCCAGGUAAUCUCACCUGCAAAGUUUACCAUCCGCAGAGGUGAAGAGGAUUUCACAUGUAUUUAUAUCAAGUGUUGUGCGAGUACUACAACACCCUGAAACUUGGCUGAAUGUAUUAUCUAGCCCAUUAAGUACGCACUACUAUAGGCAUCGGUUUUCUAAAGAGUUUCUGUUGAGUAGACUCAUUAAAUUCUGCUACUGGAAGGUGGAUCAAACAUUAUAGAGAUUGUAAGCAUGUUCUGAUCGAUUAGGCCGCAGCUUGUGAUAGAUUACAGACACAAUUGUAUGUACCUUCAUCAUGCUGUUGAUUUAGCUCUUAGAAAUAGUGAAGGUGAACUGAUUUUCAGAAGUUAUGUACUAGCGUAUGGAACGGAUUGCUUUGAUAUGCACAUUGGAGCCA